UAGAGUGUAGCGUAGUGGCUAGCGAGCUUAGUUCAGGACGCAGAGGCCGGUGGCUCGAGUCCACUCACCCCGACCA
rnacentral:tRNA from 1 species